rnacentral:rRNA from 1 species
AUUGAACGCUGGCGGCAGGCCUAACACAUGCAAGUCGAACGAGUGGCGGACGGGUGAGUAAUGUGUGGGAAACUGCCAGAUGGAGGGGGAAAACUACUGGACACGGUAGCUAAUACCGCAUAAUAUAAGAUGUGCCCAGAUGGGAUUAGCUUGUUGGUGGGGUAACGGCUCACAAAGGCGACGAUCCCUAGCUGGUCUGAGAGGAUGACCAGCCACACUGGAACUGAGACACGGUCCAGACUCCUACGGGAGGCAGCAGUGGGGAAUAUUGCACAAUGGGCGCAAGCCUGAUGCAGCCAUGCCGCGUGUAUGAAGAAGGCCUUCGGGUUGUAAAGUACUUUCAGCGGGGAGGCGUUACCCGCAGAAGAAGCACCGGCUAACUCCGUGCCAGCCGCCGCGGUAAUAC